rnacentral:rRNA from 1 species
AACAGGAUUAGAUACCCUGGUAGUCCACGCCGUAAACGAUGUCGACUUGGAGGUUGUGCCCUUGAGGCGUGGCUUCCGGAGCUAACGCGUUAAGUCGACCGCCUGGGGAGUACGGCCGCAAGGUUAAAACUCAAAUGAAUUGACGGGGGCCCGCACAAGCGGUGGAGCAUGUGGUUUAAUUCGAUGCAACGCGAAGAACCUUACCUACUCUUGACAUCCAGAGAACUUAGCAGAGAUGCUUUGGUGCCUUCGGGAACUCUGAGACAGGUGCUGCAUGGCUGUCGUCAGCUCGCGUUGUGGAAUGUUGGGUUAAGUCCCGCAACGAGCGCAACCCUUAUCCUUUGUUGCCAGCGGUUAGGCCGGGAACUCAAAGGAGACUGCCAGUGAUAAACUGGAGGAAGGUGGGGAUGACGUCAAGUCAUCAUGGCCCUUACGAGUAGGGCUACACACGUGCUACAAUGGCGCAUACAAAGAGAAGCGACCUCGCGAGAGCAAGCGGGCCUCAUAAAGUGCGUCGUAGUCCGGAUUGGAGUCUGCAACUCGACUCCAUGAAGUCGGAAUCGCUAGUAAUCGUAGAUCAGAAUGCUACGGUGAAUACGUUCCCGGGCCUUGUACACACCGCCCGUCACACCAUGGGAGUGGGUUGCAAAAGAAGUAGGUAGCUUAACCUUCGGGAGGGCGCUUACCACUUUGUGAUUCAUGACUGGGGUGAAGUCGUAACAAGGUAACC